CCUUCCCCUUCCUUCCUUCCUUCCUUCCUUCCUUCCUUCCUUCCUUCCUUCCUUCCUUCCUUUCUUUCUUUCUUCCUUUCUUCCUUUCUUCCUUUCUAUUUUUAUUCAUUGAAGACAGGGUUUCACUGUGUAACAUCCCUGAUUGCCCUGGAACUCUGUAGACACAGCUGACCUCCAACUCACAGAUCCGCCUGCCUCUGCUGGAAUUAAAAAGGCAUGCGCCACCACUGCCUGGCUCCUGGUUUUUUGUUUUGAUUUCCUGUUUUUGUUUUGUUUUUUGGUUUUUCAAGACAGGGUUUGUCUGUGUAGCUUUGGAGCCUGUCUUGGCAGUCACUCUGUAUGUAGACCAGGCUGGCUUCACAUAGAGCCAUCUGUCUGCCUUUCAAGUGCUGGGAACAAAGAUGUGCGCCACCACUGCUCUACCUGGCUCCUGUUUUAAUGUUUUUUAAGCAUGUGUAUACGUCCAUGAGUUUUCUGGAGACGUCUCUGGUCUCCGUGAGAACCUAUCCUAACAAACGCCAAUAGCUGAGAAUGAAAAAGAUUCCAUUUCCCAUAGCACUCAAUCCUGCCCACGCAGGUCUUUGUAGUAGACACUGCCACCAUUGCUGUUUUAUGCAUGGGGAAACUGAGGACCAGAGAGUUGUCACCUGACCAACCUCACAUACGUACGGAGGCAGCUCUGGGAUUCAUGGAUAAAUAGAGCUCUGUGUGAAACAGAUGUCCUCAUAGCUCUAGGUGCCAGGACUCACCCCCAGUGUCCGAGCUCCUAACACAUGCCCCCUCACUGAUUGCAGCACUCUUUGUACCAUCAGGGUUCAGUUGGCAUAAUCCAUGUUCCACUUACCCUGUUAGCAUGUUUCCCCUUACUCCUGACCCUGUGUGUACUAGAUACUUAAACCUGUCCCACCCCUGCCCACCUCACAGGUCUCCGUGGUACACCUGCUAUAUCCCACCCACUCAUACCCUCCUGGGAGUCAUUGAUUUGGCUCCUAGAUGUAGCUUGUGUGAGGCCUUCAGGAUUUUGGCCUUCCAUUGAGGGCUCCACUCUGACCUCCUUACGGCACUAGGUCAUACUCCAGCUCUUUAUGGUUAAGAGAAUGACCGCAAAACCAGCUUCUUGGCUUUGGUGUUUCUCUGUAGACAACAUAUACCAUUCUUUAGUUAAUGCCUUCAGUUCGUUGACAGUUUCAUACACACAUGAGGUAACCAUCCUCAUUGCUGUGACAGAUUACAAGACAAUAACCUUAAUGGAGAAAAGGUUUAUCCUAGCUCACUGAGAGUAUAGUCCAGUGGUUCUCAACCUGUGGGUCAUGACUUCUUUGGAACUUUCCCAAGGGUCGCCUAAGUCCACUGGAAAACACAGAUGUUUACAUUAUAUUUCAUAGCAGUAGCAAAUGUUACAGUUGUGAAGUAGCAACAGAAAUAAUUUUAUGGUUGGGGUCACCACAGCAGGAGGAACUGUAUUAAAGGGUCACAGCAUUAGGAAGGCUUGGAACCACUGCUAUAUUGUGGCAGGAAGUCAAAGCAGGAGCGGGAGAUCACAUUGCAUACACAGCCUCGAAGCAGGGAAAAACGAAUGCUGGUGUUCAAUUUGUUCGUUUUGAUUCACUCUAGGACCCCAGUCCAUGGUAUGGUACAAAGCACAUACAGGGUAGGUCUUCCCACCCCUCGACAGGCCCAGAGGUUUAUUUCCAUGGUGAUUCUAAAUCCUAGGAAUCUGACAAUAAAUAUGAACUAUCAUACUAGUCUAAGGUGUACCCAAAUGAUGUCGUUUUAACACCUCUAAGAAUGUUGGCUCCAAGUACUGUGGCGUUCUUCCAUACUGCACUGGGGAUUAGGGUUGCACAUAUGAAUGGGGUGGGGAUGGACACUGUCCCAACCAUUUCCACCAGAAGGACCCUUUGCCUUGUUGGUCUCUGGUGAGCUCCAUCUCAUGAUCUGGAGGGUACUGUGGUGGUGAGAAUUAAGGACUCAGAACAUAACAGUAUAGAAGGGAGAACUGAAUAGUGGUUGGCCGGGGGUGGGGGAUGACGACGACUGGGAAAUGUUCUGUUUAAAGACAGUGGUGGUCACUGAACUGCUAAUUGCUGCCUUAUGGCACUAUGGUCUUUGUUAUAUAGCUUUGGAUAUUUUUUUUAAAGAUGCCAAGCAUUUUUGUGACAUCAGUUUUGUGUGUUGGCAAUCCAUUUAUUUUUUUAAGAUUUAUUUUUAAUCAUAUGGAUGGGGGGAGCAGGGCACUGGUGCAGAGGGCAUUGGUUCAGGAGUCUUCGAAGUCCUGGAGAGGGCAUCAGAUGCCCUGAAGUUAGAGUUACAAAUGGUUGUGAAACUUGUAACAUGGGUGCUUGGAAAUAGAACUGGGUCUUCUGCAAGACAUUGUCGUAACUGCAGAACUAUCUCUUCAGCCGCCUUCCCAUUGUUUUGCAAAGAGAUAUCAAUAUUUUUGCUAUGUUGAAGCAGGGUUUCUCCUUGUGGCCUUGGCUGUCCUCAAACUCACUUUGUAGACCAAGCUGGCUUUGAACUCAUAGAAAUCCUCCUAUUUUUGCUUCCCAAUUGCUGGGAUUAAAAGCACCCAACACCACCUACCGACCAAGAUAAGAAACUUUUAUAUAACUGUCCCAAAGUUGUAUAUUGGCAAAUAGUUCAUAAAUAAAAAGGAAACAAGCUGGCGGUCGUGGUGCACACCUUUAAUCCCAACACUUGGGAGGCAGAGGCUGCUGGAUCUCAAAGUUCAAGGCCCACCUGGUCUACAGAGGGAGUUCCUGGAUAGCCAGGGCUAGAAAGACAAACCCUAUCUUUAAAAAUAAAACAAAAUAAAAAAUAAAAACAGAAAGAAAGAAAAAAAUAGGGAACAAAGAAGAGAAAAAGAAACACUUUACUGCCUGGUGUUUAUCAUAUCCAGGUGAUACAUUUGGGUCUAAGGCUACAGCUGGUGACCUACUGUCCUGCUGGACUCUCAAAUUCACUAGACAUACUUAAUGGGUUGUUUUGUAAGACUCGGGACCCUUUUGUGAGGAUGCUGUAUUCAAAAAGUGGAAGCUUGGGGAACAUUGAGAAAAGAGUGGAAAGGUUAAGAGUCAGAGAUUUGAGAGGACUAGACAAAGCAAGCAGUUUGUGGACCAAUGUACUCCUGAGUUCACAGCAGCUGUAGUUGCCUGACCAAGAUCAAGUCCGUCGACAUUCCAGUGCUGUGGGGAGGGGCUCACAAGACUCCACCCCAAAUGGAGGCAAAUGGAUCAGGAGAGCCAGUUGUCUUCAAAGGUGCAUGCAGUCCCUGAUAGGUUGAUAGGUUCACUGAAGGUAGGUGCACCACUGAAUGGUCAGCACAGAUUGAACUGAGCGGGUUAUUACAGUUACGGGGGGAAAAAAAUAAAUGAAGAGGGUUAGGACAAGUAGGAAGUAUAGGGUCUGGAAGAAGAUAGGGGAGGGAAUGAAUAUAAUUGAAAUACAUUGCAUGCAUAAUAUGAAAUUUUCAAAGAACAAAAAACAUUCAUUAAAAGCAUACAAAAAAAGGAAUGCCUUUAAUCCCAACACUGGAAAGUUAGAAGGAGGCAGAGCUCUGAGUUCAAGGCCUACCUGGACUUCAUAGUGAGCCACCGUCUUAAAACAAAAUACCAAGAAGAUGGACUUAUGCCGUUAUCCUAUCUCAGCAUCUAAUUUGCAUAUGUGUAAUUGCAAUCUGGUGAAGUCUAUGUAAACUGAAAGAGGCACAAUGAGAUAAAAGUGGGGAGCUUUAGAUUUGGGGUAAUCAGAACCCUUGCGGUGACACUUGAGAGGGUAAGAUAUACAGAGUGGUGGAAAGCUGGGCAAAAGACAUUUAUAAGCAAGGUAAGGGUGACCUGGAAACUGAAAGUCAGCAAGAGGGCUGCUGCAGAGAAAGGCAACAACCAGCAUUGUAGGGCCUAGUAAGCCCUGCAGAAGAGUUAAUCAUUGUCCUUCCCUUCCCACUAAGAUAUAAAUGAAUAGUGCUGUCGUGAGGCAGAAAGAGCGUCCUGAAGAAGUUUGCCAGCUUUCCCUUUGGACCUAUGGAAGCUAGAAACACAGCAUGUACCUAUGGGAGAGACAGCGAGUCCUGACUCUUCGGCCAUAGGGAAAGGGCUUUUAGUACAACCACCCUGCUUCAUCCUCCAGGGUCCUUUAAGGCUGCCUUCCCUAUUGCUGCAGCAAAAAUGAAGAAGACCAUUCAACAGCUUAAAAAAGUCCAGGAUUGCAUCCCUCCUUGUGCUCCGGACUCAGGACGUGUCCUACUUCCGUGAUGUGCCAGGGGCCCACGGGUACCUGGCGCGGAUCCGGCCAGUGCAACCCACCCACCGCGGGACCUUCUCCUGCGUGAUCCUGCACGACCAACGCCCCCUGGCGCGGCUCUACUUCUAUCUGAACGGUGCGGGCGGGGCAAGGAUGUGAGGAGAGGUGGGGCCGAGGGCGGGGUUCCGCCCUCUAACGCGCGCGCUCUGGCAGUGACCGGCCCUCCUCCGCCUGGGGAGACUGAGCUCCAGGUCACGUUCCGGGAAGUGACACAUUGGACGCCGCGGGAGGCGGAAAUGAUCGAGCCCUGGAGGCCCAGCCUAAGCGAACUGCUUGCCAGGCCCCAGGCUCUGACGCUUGGCAACCUGUUCCUGCUCGCGGCUAUUGCUGCACUCGUGUCUGCUAGCGUCACUGUGCUAGUGUGGUGAGUGCCGGCUUCCACCCUCGCCUCCCGCUGCUCCCCUUGUCCACGCCGCAGGCCUCCGACCCAGGAGUUCAGACUCCGUCCAUCCUCCGAGUCCAGACCCCAGCCUCCUCCCUGAGCCCCAAAACCAGGUCUUCUCAGACUAAAGUUAUAUAGGCUCUAGACUACCUUCCUUAGACUCAGGGUUCUAGCCUCCAAUUCUCCUUCAAACCUAGGAGACCUAACCCUUUUUUUCUCAGAGCCAGAAGUCCAGGUCCUAGCCCUCCUUGCCCAGGCUGAGAAAUCCAGAUUCUAUCCUUAUAGCUCAUAAACUUACAUAGUCUCGACACCAGGGCUCCUUGUAGACUCAGGUCUAGGCUCUCCUUGCACUUUGAAAUCCUAAUGUGUUUCUGUCACUGGGCCCUCCUUCAACGCACAUACUCGUUUAUUUUCCCAGGGUGUUUUUUCGAUGGUACGUAAGUGGCAGCUAAGGAGGGUAUCUGCCCUGAUUUGACAUUCUUCCCUGAAAUAAAGAAUGUAUUUCAGUUCUGGA